UACGAAGGGGGCUAGCGUUGCUCGGAAUCACUGGGCGUAAAGGGUGCGUAGGCGGGUCUUUAAGUCAGGGGUGAAAUCCUGGAGCUCAACUCCAGAACUGCCUUUGAUACUGAAGAUCUUGAGUUCGGGAGAGGUGAGUGGAACUGCGAGUGUAGAGGUGAAAUUCGUAGAUAUCGGGAGGAACACCGGUGGCGAAGGCGGCGACCUGGGUCGAGACUGACGCUGAGACGCGAAAGCGUGGGGAGCAAACAGG
rnacentral:rRNA from 1 species